UCGACGAAUUCAGAUUAGCAUAUCAAUAAGCGGAGGAAAAGAAACUAACAAGGAUUCCCCUAGUAACGGCGAGUGAAGCGGGAAGAGCACAAAUUUAAAAUCUACCUGGUUUCCAGGUCGAGUUGUAAUUUGAAGAUACGUUUUUGAUGUUCUGGGUUGGGCUAAAUCCUUUGGGAUAAGGUAUUAUAGAGGGUGAGAAUCCCGUAUAUACCAACCGUAGGGAUGUUAUUAAAUACGUUUCUAAGAGUCGAGUUGUUUGGGAAUGCAGCUCUAAAUGGGUGGUAAAUUUCACCUAAUGCUAAAUAUAAGCGAGAGACCGAUAGCGAACAAGUACAGUGAUGGAAAGAUGAAAAGAACUUUGAAAAGAGAGUUAAAUAGUAUGUGAAAUUGUUGAAAGGGAAACGAUUGAAGUCAGUCAUGCCGACGGGAAUCAACUUAGAGGAAACUCUGGGUGCACUUCUUCGCUUGGCAGGUCAACGUCGAUUUUGAAUGUCAUAAAAUAAUUGGGGGAAGGUAGCUCCUUCGGGAGUGUUAUAGCCCUUGAUAGAUGUGAUGUUUGGGGUCGAGGAUUGCAACGGAUACCCUCUGGGGCUAGCCGCCUGAUCUCUAAUCGGUGUUGGGUUACGGAUAGCAUGCUGACCGUGAUCUAAUUACUGGUUAAAAGGUUAGAGCGUGUAUAAAUUCGUUAAGGACACUGACGUAAUGGCUUUAAACGACCCGUCUUGAAACACGGACCA
rnacentral:rRNA from 1 species